rnacentral:tRNA from 1 species
GGAGAGGUGCGAGAGUGGUUGAAUCGGGCGGUCUCGAAAACCGUUGUACUCGAAAGGGUACCGUGGGUUCGAAUCCCACCCUCUCCGCCA